rnacentral:lncRNA from 1 species
UUUUUUUAUGUCACUUAAACAAACACAUGGAGUCAAGUGUGCUUGUUAGUUAUGGCUGUUAAUUUUGACAGGAAGCUGCUGCAACUAACAAACCCAGAAACAGCCUUCCUAAAGGUUGGUUCUGGUGCAUUCUUCUCAGAUCUAGUCAUAAGAAUUGAGAGAGAAGGUUAGUUACUUGUAUUCUCUGUAUCUAUCUCAUGUUCUGUGUAGAUCUUUGAUUCAAUAUCGUGAACGCUCGAAGCUUGUUUCCUCAGUGGAUGCAGGUUCCUUCAACAGGUGCUGAACCUCUUAACUCUUGUGUGUUUGUCUUUGUUUUGUUUCUGUUCUUGAUCGAUUAUUGAGUGUGUGCAUAUCUUGAUCUGUGAAUCUUGCAUCUUGUAAGCAGAAUUAGGUUUUAGGGUGAAUUUGAUCUGAUUUAUAAGGGUUGAAUUCACGACUCUUAGAGAUGCAUUUGCCUGCAUAGGAAGAACAGGCCAAAAAUAACUUACAUGAUCCGAUUCCAAGCUUUUAACUGGGGGUUAUUUAGAUAAGUUAAUUUUGUCUUCAUACUUUAAUUGUCAUUAAUUUUCUCUGACCUAUGAAAUUUUAAAUUCCAUGACAUUAACUAAUGUGAUUGUUCUAGUGGAUUUCUGACUCAAAAUUUGUACCUAGAAUGCUUGUCUUUAACAACAGCAACAUUUGAUGCCGCCAUGGCACAUCUCAUUUUUGCCAUUACCUUUAUCUUGGCUAUUUGUUUUUGGAAUCGUGUCAAUCAUAUUGUGUUAUAAUUUAUGCCAAUUAAAAAUAUGUUAUUAAUUAAUAUGGAAGGGAUAGUAAUAUGCUCAUGGCUUAGCAAAAUGAUCACAAAGACUUCAUUAUUUUUAUAAAUAGUCAUAUCGACUCAUGCUUAGGUAAUUAUGCUUUAUGAGGUCAAAGGCUAUAAUUGUCCAAGAAAUAUCUAUGUGACAAUUUCUAAAAAUAUAGUAUGUGUCCACUUCGCCAAACCACAAGCAUAUUAACUCGUAACCACUAAUUUUAAUUUCUAUAACUAGAAUGGAGAAACUGGGACGGGAGAAACCAAGUGGGAAGGCUAAAAUUAGGCUUGGCAAUUUAAGGGCCUUGGCCUGGGCUUGGCAUAUAAUGUUUUAAAAGUCUAGGCCCUCUCAAAGCCCAUCUAAAUUGGGCGGACCUGGGCUUUUACGAAUUGUCAAAUAUUUUUUUAAUAAAACUAUAAAUUUUCAAAACAUAAUUAUUCAAUACAUAAUACUACAAUAGGCUAAAAACUUAAACAUAAUUCUCUAAUACAUGAUUAGCCAACACACAAAAUAUGAAAAUACUAACAUCACAAGUACCGUACACAACAUACAAAUCAACCACUAAUAUAAAAAAGAAACUAAUCCAAUAUUUGCGGGCCAUCUUCGUCCUCAUCCUUCAAUUCCUCGCCAGUACAAAUUUCUUCUUCAGGAACUCCACCUAAUAAAAAAAAAGGUGUUAAAAUAAAUAAUAAAGCAAAAUAAUUAGUAAUUAAUUUUGUAAAAAAUAUUUUUAUACCUCCAUUGCUAGUAGCCCAUAACCAAUGCUGAGAGCACAUGAUAGCUUCCAACGUGUCUGGAUGUAGUCUACUCCGUUGUGGACUCAAUGUUCUACCCCUCGUACUAAAAGCCGACUCCAAGGCAACAGUUGUCACAGGUAUGGCUAGCAAAUCCUUGGUUAUCUCCGCCAAAAUAGGAUAUUUACCUUUGUUCAUCUUCCACCAUUGUAAAACAUCAAAAUCCAGAGUUCUUUUUACUAAAGGAUCCUCCAAAUACCUAUCUAAGUCGGACUUCGAACUAAUAGGUUGACUAUUUUGGGUUGCAUAUGCAUCAAAUCACCCAUAUCAUCUAUAUCAUCAAAAUCAAUAUGAGAUUGGUCGGGAGGAACAACAAGUGCGGUAAAAGACUCACCAACAACACUGUAUCUCGUAGUUGCGGAUUUGGCCUCAUAAUAAUUCAUCAUUUCAUCACAAAGCUCUCGCACUCUCUUAAGUUGAUUUUCAAGGCCGACUACAUAAAUCUUCAGAUAAUAAUAAUUAAUCAACAUCAUCUUGUAUCUCGGAUCAAGAAUAACAAUCAUGACCAAUACCCCACUAAUCUCAUCCCAAUACUUCAAAAAAAUUUCAAUCAUGUUAUCCGCCAUAUUCUUAACUACAAGAACAUAUGAUGUUUGCCACCCCUUCAAUGCAAUCCUCAUUUUACAAACCAAUGGAAAAAAUAGAUUAGCAGUGGGGUAUGUUGUACCCGAAAACAUCUCAGUCAACCUUGAAAAAGGCCUCAAAUAAUCUAGCAUUUGCUUAGCCAGCUCCCAUUCUUCACUACUAGGCAAACACUUGUAUUGCGGCUCAAGUGUUUGCAGUCGAGAAAAAACACUUUCGUACUUCACUACAAGUUCAAGCAUCGCAAAAGUCGAAUUCCAUCUAGUUGGACAAUCAAGCCCCAACGUUUUCACAUCCGUUUGCAUUUGACGACAUGCCAACUUAAACUUUUCCACUUGUUUUGGCGAUGAACUCCAGUAAGACACACUAUCUCUAACACGUGUAAUACCACUCUCAAUCACCGACAACCCAUCCUUCACAAUUAAAUUCAAAAUAUGAGCCGCACAACUCAUAUGAAAAAAAUUACUGCUCAAUAUCAUUGACUUAGUUGACAACAAUCCCUUCAAUCUUUGAACCAUCGCAUCAUUAGUUGAACAAUUAUCCAAAGAAACUGUGGAUAACUUUCUAUCUAGAUUCCAAUCCAUCAAACACUUCACCAAAAUUUGGGAAAUGCAAUCAGCUGUAUGUGGGGCUUGCUCAUAUAUAAAUAUGUUCAUUCAAAAAAAUAAUAAAAAUUAUGCCAAGUUACAAAAAAAUUAAAUAAAAAAUUUUUAAAUUUAAUGAAGUACCUAUACUAUACAAAUUUAAAUACAAAAUUUUAAUAUUUAAUAAAGUAAAAAUACCUUAGGAUUCGACUUUGCAAAUGCCAAGAGUUGUCAAUGAAAUGUCCUGUAACAACCAUAUAAACUUUCUUUUGAUUACAAGCCGUCCACGUGUCUGUAGUAAUUACUACCCUACUAUUAUUAAUCUCUAACAAAUUCAUUGCCUUCCCCUUUUCAACAUUAUAUAUCUUAAAGAUCUCACUCUUUAAAGUGUUUCUGGACAUAUGCUUCACCAAUUGAUUGCAAUAAUCAACAAAAUCUAAGAGGAAGCUCAUGUUUAACAACAACUAUUGUAAGUUUUUUACGUGCAACCAAUGGAUCAAAUUUCGGAAUUCCAAGCUCACCACUUUCGAUUUUCACCAAGUGUUGCUUAUUCUCAAAAACUUCUUCAAUUGUCGGUUGAUUAAAACCAUGAAUUUGUCUAGUAUAUCUAUUCAAAUGACUGGUUCUCGAUCCACAAGAAAGAACCGUUCCGCAAUGAUUGCAUUUUGCCUUUGCUACACUACCAACAUUUAUUUUUGUGAAAUGGUCCCAACAAUUUGAAACAACCCUCUGCUUUCUUUUUUUAUCACUCCGCGUUUCUUCUUGAACAUUUUCCGACUCCACAGAUGGAUUUGAAGGCAAAUUAGAAGAUUUAGAAACAUUUUCCAUUAUAAACCUAUACAAAAUUAAAGGAGAUAAAAUAAUUAAUUAAUUAAUUAAUUAAAAAGUGUAAAUGCAGUAAACGCAUACUGCAUUUACAAGCACAUGAGUGACAGGACAACAAAUUUACAAUGUCCAGAACUACAUACAAUAUCUAUACAAUGGAGACAUCACCUUAAUACAGGCUGAGAAAAAUAAUAUGAAUAUGAAAAUUAAACAUCAUUGAGAAAUAUAAACACUUUGCAAUUGAAGACAGGAAAUAAAUUCUAUAUCAUUCGUACCUUCACAAUUCUGUUCCAAAGUUCCAAAAUCAAAGCAAGAAGUGAAACUAGUAUCAUCUCAAUCAUAGUACACUAUGAACUGCAGGUUUGCUGCUCCUAAAAAUUGCAAUGCCAUGGCACUACUAUUUUCAGAAAAUGAACAAAGGAUCAAGAUUGCAUGGCCCUAUGGAUACCAUCAACUGUUGAUGUAUGUUAUUAGGAAUUAAUCACUAACAAUCAAUUACAAGGGAUUCACUUAAAUUAACUCAAAUGGCAGGCCAGCAACCUACACACGCAAAAAAGGAAAAAAAAAAAAAAGGACGGCUGUGCUGGUAUUCCAAACUACAAAAUAAAAAAAUUUGAAGCUUUAUUGACAUGGAUUACCAGAGUUAGAUGCAGUGUCGCGUGGCUUGCUGGUGGGUGGGAGGCGCGGCUGCGACACGCGGGAGAUGCUGUUGCUGCCUUGCUGGAUGGCUGGACGGUGGGUGGUUGGGCGGUGGGUUACGCCUUACGUGGGAGAUGCUCGCUACUGCUGCUGCUGGAUGGUGGGUCGUUGAUGGCUGAUGCUGGCUGGAUGCUGCUGGAAUCUGGAGAUGCUCGCUGCUGUUGGCUAUCGGCAGCGAGAACAGUGAGACGCCAACACGGUGAUGCUGUGACAUUGAGUGAGAUUUUGUCAUGGUGCUCACGAAUAGAGGGAUUUAGGGAUUUUGUCACAGUUCAGUAGUUCACACUUUACAAAACCUUUGCCCGAUUUUUUAAUUGUUUUGUUUAUGUUUUUUUUUUCAGUUUUUUUUUAAUUUCAAUUUUAUAAUAUAUUAUAUAGUUUUUUUUUCUUUAAAAAAAAUUAUAUAUAUUAUUUAUUAUAAAGUCCGGGCUUAAGCCUAGGCUUUUCAUUCAGGCCCUUGACUGAACCCAUAUAUUAUGGGCUUUAUUAAUUAUGAGCCCUUAUCCAUAAUUUCAAGCCGUGGGCCUAGGCUGGGCCGGCACGGGUUUGGGCCGGCCUGAGCUUUUCUGCCAAUCCUAACUAAAUAUUGGGAACAAUAAUGGCAAUAGGAGGAGCAAUGGUGCUUGCUCUCUAUAAAGAAACUGAACUUACCAUUUGGUCAACAUAUAUUAACUUAUUGCACCAAAAUAGCACAAUGGCACCAUCACCACCCAAAAAUUUCUAUAGCCAUUUGUUGAGUUCUUUGGCUUCUUUUGGGGCUUUUUUCUUUUGCAACUUGGCUGAUCAUUCAGGUGAUAAUGUCAACAACCAAAUACACUUUUUUUUUUAUUAUAUUAGAUACAUUUUUUGUAUAUAUCAACUUUGUAAUGAGUAUGUACAAUAUGAUUAAUUAAAACAAUUUUUUUUUUGGUAUAAUUUAUGUUUAGACUAAUAUGAGUAAGAGGCACCAAUGUCAUUACUCAAGCACAACUCUAAUAUCUUUAAUGGGAUCAAUCUAGUGUAUUGUUUGCGCGUUAUGCAUGGACAGAGAAUGGAAAGAACGGAAAUUGACUUGGAAUAUUCGACUGUGUACAGUUGCUUAUUCGGUAUAAUAUCUAGUAAAUUUUAUUUUAAACUUUAACAUUCCAUCCAGUAUUCGUUUAUUUUUAUAAUUUAAGUCAAUUCUCUUUUACUCCUUGUAUAUUUAUUUUUCAUAAAAUGUAUUUAACUAUUCAUUUAUUUUUCACAUAUUGCAUAUGAAAUUUUAUUUGAAUUUUAAGUUUUAUUAUAAAAACAUAUUCUUUUACUCAUAAAAAGUUAUAUUCAGUAGUUAUUUGGUAGUUUUUGAAAAUAUAAAUACUAAUUGAAUAAUUGGUACGGACCUUCAUAACUUUAGGGAAUUUGCCUCACGCUUUGAUUAUUGUUCUUAAUUUUCCUACUAGAUAAAUUUGUUAAUUAUAAUUUAUUAGUUGGCAAGUAUAAAUCAAUUUGAUAACAAGUAUAAAUCAGUUGAUGAUAAUAUACAUAGUAAUAAAUACGUGGUAACUAAUUAUAUUUAUCUAAUUAAUUUUGUAGGGAAUUGUGACCAAGUGAUAGUGACACUCGUAACAUGGAAUUCAGCUAGGAGAGGGCCAGUCUUUACGUCCAUAUCCUUUGUCAGUUCUGCUUGUAGCAAAUGGAGGAUCUUUGGUCUUGGAUGAAAAGCUUCGCUGUGGAAUAUUAAUUACAGCAAGAAUUGUUUUUGGUUAUUCUGAAUGCACUUAUUAGUUAAUUAUUUUAAGGAAAAACGAUAGUGAUAUCCGGGAUUCAGUAAAAUGGUCAUGAAAAUUAUCUUUUUUGUAGAAAUAAUAAUUCAUGUCUCUUCAUUAUGUGGUUAAAAACAAUUAUACAGACCUUAAGAUUUGUCUUAAAAAAAAUGUGUCCUAAAAAGCUGAAAAGGAUCUAUAUAAUUAUUUCAAAAUAUAAAAGAAAU